rnacentral:ncRNA from 2 species
ACUAUCAAAAUAAGAGGAAAUGAAGUGAAUAUCUUCAACUGAAGCCGCAGCCGUAAAAGUCGGAACGCUCGAAAAA